GAUGAACGCUGGCGGCGUGCCUAAUACAUGCAAGUCGAGCGAACAGACGAGGAGCUUGCUCCUCUGACGUUAGCGGCGGACGGGUGAGUAACACGUGGAUAACCUACCUAUAAGACUGGGAUAACUUCGGGAAGCCGGAGCUAAUACCGGAUAAUAUAUUGAACCGCAUGGUUCAAUAGUGAAAGACGGUUUUGCUGUCACUUAUAGAUGGAUCCGCGCCGCAUUAGCUAGUUGGUAAGGUAACGGCUUACCAAGGCAACGAUGCGUAGCCGACCUGAGAGGGUGAUGGGCCACACUGGAACUGAGACACGGUCCAGACGCCUACGGGAGGCAGCAGUAGGGAAUCUUCCGCAAUGGGCGAAAGCCUGACGGAGCAACGCCGCGUGAGUGAUGAAGGUCUUCGGAUCGUAAAACUCUGUUAUUAGGGAAGAACAAAUGUGUAAGUAACUAUGCACGUCUUGACGGUACCGAAUCAGAAAGCCACGGCUAACUACGU
rnacentral:rRNA from 1 species